rnacentral:misc_RNA from 1 species
UUAAUUGAUUUAUUUCAAUACUCUGACGCAAGGAUGCAGUGUUUGUGGUGUGUCCAUCGGGGGCGGUGAAGCCCCCGAGGCAACGUGUACGUUUGACAAAGGGUUGUGAGGUGAGGCGCCGGACUGUUUCCAGCCGGGCGCCAUGUUCUCAUUAAUGAUCCCUCCGCAGGUUCACCUACGGAGA